rnacentral:tRNA from 1 species
GGCGCGAUAGCAAAGCGGUUAUGCCCCGGAUUGCAAAUCCGGUUAGGGCGGUUCGACUCCGCCUCGCGCCUCCA